UCGGGAAUUUUGGGCAAUGGGCGAAAGCCUGACCCAGCAACGCCGCGUGAAGGAUGAAGUAUUUCGGUAUGUAAACUUCGUAAGAAUAGGAAGAAUAAAUGACGGUACUAUUUGUAAGGUCCGGCUAACUACGUGCCAGCAGCCGCGGUAAUACGUAGGGACCAAGCGUUGUUCGGAUUUACUGGGCGUAAAGGGCGCGUAGGCGGUUUGUCAAGUCAGUUGUGAAAUCUCCGAGCUUAACUCGGAACGGUCAACUGAUACUGUCAAACUAGAGUACAGAAGGGGCAAUCGGAAUUCUUGGUGUAGCGGUGAAAUGCGUAGAUAUCAAGAGGAACACCUGAGGCGAAGGCGGGUUGCUGGGCUGAUACUGACGCUGAAGCGCGAAAGCUAGGGUAGCAAACGGGAUUAGAUACCCCAGUAGUCCCUG
rnacentral:rRNA from 1 species